UACGUAGGGUGCGAGCGUUGUCCGGAAUUAUUGGGCGUAAAGAGCUCGUAGGCGGCUUGUCGCGUCGAAUGUGAAAACCUGCAGCUCAACUGCAGGCUUGCAUUCGAUACGGGCAGGCUCGAGUUCGGUAGGGGAGACUGGAAUUCCUGGUGUAGCGGUGAAAUGCGUAGAGAUCCGGAGGAACACCAAAGGCGAAGGCAGUGUCCUGGGGAGUACCUGACGCUCAGGUGCGAAAGCCAGGGGAGCGAACGGG
rnacentral:rRNA from 1 species